CCUACGGGAGGCAGCAGUGGGGAAUAUUGCACAAUGGGCGAAAGCCUGAUGCAGCGACGCCGCGUGAGGGACGACGGCCUUCGGGUUGUAAACCUCUUUCAGCAGGGACGAAGCGCAAGUGACGGUACCUGCAGAAGAAGCACCGGCUAACUACGUGCCAGCAGCCGCGGUAAUACGUAGGGUGCAAGCGUUGUCCGGAAUUACUGGGCGUAAAGAGUUCGUAGGCGGUUUGUCACGUCGUUUGUGAAAACUCACAGCUCAACUGUGAGCCUGCAGGCGAUACGGGCAGACUUGAGUACUGCAGGGGAGACUGGAAUUCCUGGUGUAGCGGUGAAAUGCGCAGAUAUCAGGAGGAACACCGGUGGCGAAGGCGGGUCUCUGGGCAGUAACUGACGCUGAGGAACGAAAGCGUGGGUAGCGAACAGGAUUAGAUACCCUGGUAGUCCACGCCGUAAACGGUGGGCGCUAGGUGUGGGUUCCUUCCACGGAAUCCGUGCCGUAGCUAACGCAUUAAGCGCCCCGCCUGGGGAUCGGCCGCAAGGCUAAAACUCAAAGGAUUGACGGCUGAGACGNGCGAGCGACGACGAGGGAGAG
rnacentral:rRNA from 1 species